AUGUAACCUCUUUGCAUUUGGUGUCGUUUGUCCCAGGGCUGAGCCAGGGCGCCUGCUGAAUCGUGGCCUGCGAUCGCCUGGCAUUAAGCAAUGCCGCCGGCAGCAGGCCCGCGACCCGAUGUGCGACCGCCACCGUGGGUGUCCUCACGGCCGGACGAUCACUUUACUGGCAUCGCAUCGCUGUCGUUGCUCCUCAGCGAGAAACGAUCACGUAGUGCCUAGUUAGAUACUUAGAUAGGACUUUUAUGAACCUGUAACAAUAUUAAGAGGCGCAACCCGACAUUAGGACGUGGAAAAUAUCACUAUAAACUAUAUACACUUUCGCGAUAAUAGAUUAAGACAUUAUUAUAAAUGAAGGCAAACG